rnacentral:rRNA from 1 species
GUGCACCAGGCGCGAAUCUUUCGCAAUGCGCGAAAGCGUGACGGAGUGACGCCGCGUGGACGAUGAAGGCCUUCGGGUUGUAAAGUCCAAUCGCGGGGGAAGAAACGGCAGAGGCUAAUACCCUGCUGCCGUGACGUUACCCCGGUCGAAGCGCCGGCUAAACACGUGCCAGCAGCCGCGGUAAGACGUGUGGCGCGAGCGUUGUUCGGAAUCACUGGGCAUAAAGGGCGUGUAGGCGGUGGUGUAAGUCGGGUGUGAAAGCCCUCGGCUCAACCGAGGAAUUGCAUCCGAUACUGCGCCACUAGAGUGUGGAGGGGGAGUGGAAUUCCCGGUGGAGCGGUGAAAUGCGUAGAUAUCGGGAGGAACGCCGGUGGCGAAGGGCGAUCCCCUGGGCCCACAACUGACGCUGAGGCGCGAAAGCUAGGGGAGCAAACAGGAUUAGAUACCCGUGUAGU